rnacentral:rRNA from 1 species
AGCGAACGCUGGCGGCAGGCCUAACACAUGCAAGUCGAACGAACUCUUCGGAGUUAGUGGCGGACGGGUGAGUAACACGUGGGAACGUGCCUUUAGGUUCGGAAUAACUCAGGGAAACUUGUGCUAAUACCGAAUGUGCCCUUCGGGGGAAAGAUUUAUCGCCUUUAGAGCGGCCCGCGUCUGAUUAGCUAGUUGGUGAGGUAAAGGCUCACCAAGGCGACGAUCAGUAGCUGGUCUGAGAGGAUGAUCAGCCACAUUGGGACUGAGACACGGCCCAAACCCCUAGGGGGGGCAGCAGGGGGGAAUUUUGGGAAAUGGGGGAAAGCCUGACGCAGCCAUGCCGGGUGAAUGAUGAAGGUUUUAGGAUUGUAAAAUUCUUUCACCGGGGACGAUAAUGACGGUACCCGGAGAAAAAGCCCCGGCUAACUUCGU